AUUGAACGCUGGCGGAAUGCUUUACACAUGCAAGUCGAGCGGCAGCACGGGGGCAACCCUGGUGGCGAGCGGCGAACGGGUGAGUAAUACAUCGGAACAUGCCCAGUCGUGGGGGAUAACACUUCGAAAGAAGUGCUAAUACCGCAUACGUCCUGAGGGAGAAAGCGGGGGAUCUUCGGACCUCGCGCGAUUGGAGUGGCCGAUGUCAGAUUAGCUAGUUGGUGGGGUAAAGGCCUACCAAGGCAACGAUCUGUAGCUGGUCUGAGAGGAUGAUCAGCCACACUGGGACUGAGACACGGCCCAGGCUCCUACGGGAGGCAGCAGUGGGGAAUUUUGGACAAUGGGGGCAACCAUGAUCCAGCCAUUCCGCGUGAGUGAAGAGGCCUUCGGGUUGUAAAGCUCUUUCGGCAGGAACGAAACGGCGAGCUCUAACAUAGCUUGCUAAUGACGGUACCUGAAGAAGAAGCACCGGCUAACUACGUGCCAGCCGCCGCAGUAACAC
rnacentral:rRNA from 1 species